AAAUUGAAGAGUUUGAUCAUGGCUCAGAUUGAACGCUGGCGGCAGGCCUAACACAUGCAAGUCGAACGGUAACAGGAAGCAGCUUGCUGCUUCGCUGACGAGUGGCGGACGGGUGAGUAAUGUCUGGGAAACUGCCUGAUGGAGGGGGAUAACUACUGGAAACGGUAGCUAAUACCGCAUAAUGUCGCAAGACCAAAGAGGGGGACCUUCGGGCCUCUUGC
rnacentral:rRNA from 1 species